GGGGUCGUAGCUCAGUUGGGAGAGCGCUUGAAUGGCAUUCAAGAGGUCGAGGGUUCGAUUCCCUCCGGCUCCACCA
rnacentral:tRNA from 1 species